rnacentral:lncRNA from 1 species
AUGCUCUUGAAUUUCAGGCUGGUGAAAGGUGACAGCUUGACAGCUCUGGUAAGCCUUUGCCCACGCAGCAGGUACAGCAAUGGAAACCCAAGCUUUCCCUGCAGCGUGUUCCCCUCCAGCCGGCUCGCUCGCUGCACCUCUUGUCCAGGAAAACCCCUCCGAGGAGUGGCAGCGCUCCGGAGAGAAUCACGAUGGCUGUCCCCAUGUUUCCUAAGUAACCGGGCCCUAGGGGAGCUGUUUAUUCCUGAGUGUCCCGCUGCGCAAAACAUUUCUGCUCCGCACCGACUCGCCCAUUGGCUGCCAUUGCCAUCGGAGGAAGCUGCGUGCAGGAGGAGCAGUGUUGCUAAGAGCUUAGCCCCGCGCUCCACUCUGCAGCGAUGGAGGUGGGAAGGCGCAAGGGAGAAAUCUCCCGGGAGCUGGCUCCGUGCUGGGCUGGGAUCUGCCCCCGAACGCCAGGGAGUACGGGAGCAGAUGUUGCAGGCUGUGCUCCUGCUGUAGCCAGCCACACGUAUGUAGUGCCCGAAGAGGAAGAGGAAGUGGCGGCAAUAUUGAAACUGUGUUGUGAAAAGGAUUAAGCUAAAUAAAUGGAAAUGGUAGGCUGGGUGUCA